rnacentral:rRNA from 1 species
UGGGGAAUAUUGCACAAUGGGCGCAAGCCUGAUGCAGCCAUGCCGCGUGUAUGAAGAAGGCCUUCGGGUUGUAAAGUACUUUCAGCGGGGAGGAAGGCGAUAAGGUUAAUAACCUUGUCGAUUGACGUUACCCGCAGAAGAAGCACCGGCUAACUCCGUGCCAGCAGCCGCGGUAAUACGGAGGGUGCAAGCGUUAAUCGGAAUUACUGGGCGUAAAGCGCACGCAGGCGGUCUGUCAAGUCGGAUGUGAAAUCCCCGGGCUCAACCUGGGAACUGCAUUCGAAACUGGCAGGCUAGAGUCUUGUAGAGGGGGGUAGAAUUCCAGGAGUAGCGGUGAAAUGCGUAGAGAUCUGGAGGAAUACCGGUGGCGAAGGCGGCCCCCUGGACAAAGACUGACGCUCAGGUGCGAAAGCGUGGGGAGCAAACA